rnacentral:tRNA from 1 species
GGAGGAGUGCCAGAGUGGUUGAAUGGGCCGCACUCGAAAUGCGGUGUACUGGCGACGGUACCGGGGGUUCGAAUCCCUCCUCCUCCG